CGGACGGGUGAGUAAUGUCUGGGAAACUGCCUGAUGGAGGGGGAUAACUACUGGAAACGGUAGCUAAUACCGCAUAACGUCGCAAGACCAAAGAGGGGGACCUUCGGGCCUCUUGCCAUCGGAUGUGCCCAGAUGGGAUCAGCUAGUAGGUGGGGUAACGGCUCACCUAGGCGACGAUCCCUAGCUGGUCUGAGAGGAUGACCAGCCACACUGGAACUGAGACACGGUCCAG
rnacentral:rRNA from 1 species